AAAUGUGUAUUUGCUCGACGAGAAGUCUCCUUCUUAGGACACAUUGUUGGUGAGGGAACGCUACGGAUGGAUGAGUCCGAAAUUCGGGCGAUACAUGAUUGGGAGCCGCCGAACAAAGUUCCAGAACAUCGGUCUUUCCUUGGCUUGGCUAACUACUAUCGAAAGUUCAUCAAAGGCUACUCUUCCAUCGCCGCGCCACUCACAGAUCUACUGAAGAAGAACCGGACCUGGGAGUGGACUGAUAAGGCCCAAAUCAUCAAAGGCUACUCUUCCAUCGCCGCGCCACUCACAGAUCUACUGAAGAAGAAUCGGACAUGGGAGUGGACUGAUAAGGCCCAAACAUCAUUUGAGGAGUUAAAGGCCGCCAUGAUCAAGGAGCCGGUAUUGGUUUUGCCCGACCAUACCAAGUCUUUCGAGGUGCAGACGGACGCCUCUGACUUUCCCCUGGGAGGCGUCCUAAUGCAAGAAGGGCAUCCUGUGACUUACGAAAGUCGUAAGCU
rnacentral:lncRNA from 1 species